GAUGAGAACGUAGCGAAAUGCGAUAAGUAAUGUGAAUUGCAGAAUUCAGUGAAUCAUCGAAUCUUUGAACGCACAUUGCGCCCUCUGGUAUUCCGGGGGGCAUGCCUGUUCGAGCGUCAUUACAACCCUCAAGCUUUGCUUGGUAUUGGACAUUGCCAGUUUCUGGCAGGUCUUAAAAUCAGUGGCGGUGCCAUUUGGCUUCAAGCGUAGUAAUUCUUCUCGCUUUGGAGAUCCAGGUGGUUACUUGCCAAUAACCCCCAAUUUUUUCAGGUUGACCUCGGAUCAGGUAGGGAUACCCGCUGAACUUAAGCAUAUCAAUAAGCGGAGGA
rnacentral:misc_RNA from 1 species